GCGGUGCAACACGGCGUCAGUGUAGGUUCACACGUGACAGUUUGUAGCUGCGUUGAACGUCACAGUCGACAAAAAUGAGUCGGCAUCAAAUUCCAAAUGUAGUCAACUGGUUUCAUCUCCAGGUUUUGGCUUUACAAAGUUUGUGUGCGACUGCUUGUGUUCAGAAAAUGCUGGAUAUGAACAUGUUUAUAUGCCAUGAAGUGUUUUGGUGCAUGAACUCGCACUCGGGUGUCACAGGUUUAGUGUCUUUGUUUCAGCACCAGGUUUUAUGAUGAGCGCUGAACAAAAAGCUUUUGGGUAAAUAAACAUAAAUAAUUAUAUGAAGCUGGUAAGAUGUGAAUGAAAGUACAUGAAUGUUCUACCGGUGGGUGAACACAUGCAGAUGUAGGUCUGAUGAGGUUUGUCCUUCACUGAGAUGAUUGAUCUGCAGCUAUUUUGAUAGUGAUUAGUCCUUUCAGGCACGUUACGGCUGCAGCUUCUCCACGGGGAGGGGUUUUAACGGUUUUCUCUAGUUUUACAGCUCUGAAAAAUUGGGAUGUUUGUCUUUUUGGACAUCUGGUUUGAUGGCAGCGCUGUCGAUAUGUCUGCACAGUUAGUCCAGACUAACACCACAGCUUGACCGGGGACUGAGUUGGAGGUCCUGUACUGGUUUCCACUGUUGCCUCUGGUGUUCACAGACAUUCAGUGUCCAAGAUGUGAGAAAAGAAGGCUGAACAGAGCAGAUGUGCAGACAAAGAAACAUGUGGAAGCUGCAGUGACAGACAUCGACCAGCAGGCGGAGACGCACACAAACGCAGCAGGGCAGAAAAGUGUGCGUCAGGUGACACGGAGACUCACAAUCCUUCAAAACAUCUUGGUCUCCUCUCGCUGCUCCCGUGAGACAAACUGAUGCAAAAAGUAAAAAAAAAAAACCAGAGUGACUUUAAUGGAGGCGUUGUUAGAGCAGGAGUCCUCUCUGGAGGUACAGCUGAAAUCAUGUUUCACCAUCCUGAACCAAACACAUCGAAAAAUGUACAAUGCUUUCUGAUUUAACAUUAAUGUCCUGAUACAUGAGAAACAAACAGCGGAAGUAGUUCAGUUCAAGUAGGAGUAAGGUUGUGUAGAAGUAC